AUGGCGGCAGCCGGCGGCAAGCCUGCCGUCCUGCUGCUCCGCCCCGUGGACGCGCCCUUCGCCGCCGCGCUGCGCGACCGCUUCCGCGUCCUCGACCUGUACGCGCCGGGGCAGGCCCUCCCGGCCCUGGCCUUCGUCGCCGCGGCCGCCGCCGUACCGGAGCCCCCGCGCGCCACGGUCAUCUGGGGCGGCGUGCGCGUGGACGCCUCGUUCCUCGACGCCGCCCCCUCCCUCCGCUGCGUCGUCAGCACGGCCGCGGGGCUCGACCACAUCGACCUGGCCGAGUGCGCGCGCCGCGGCGUCGCCGUCGCCAACUCCGGGGAGGUAUACUCAACCGACGUGGCCGAUUACGCCGUCGGCCUGCUGCUCGACGUGCUCCGGCGCGUGUCGGCGUCCGAGCGCUACGUCCGGCGCGGGUCCUGGGCGGCGCAGGGGGACUAUCCCCUCGGAUCCAAGCUUGGUGGUAAGCGUGUUGGCAUCAUCGGCUUGGGGAACAUCGGCUCACGGAUUGCAAAGAGGCUUGAAGCUUUCGGCUGCAUCAUCCACUACAACUCGAGAAAACCAAAGGAUUCAGUCUCUUACAAAUACUUCCCAAAUGUCCAUGAGCUUGCUGCUGAAUCUGACGUGCUCGUUGUCGCAUGCGCACUGAACAAGGCGACACGGCACAUCGUGAACAAGGAUGUGCUGGAGGCCCUAGGAAAGGACGGUGUGGUCGUCAACAUCGGCCGAGGAGCAAACAUCGACGAGGCAGAACUGGUCAUUGCACUCAGGGAGGGAAAGAUUGCAGGCGCGGGCCUUGACGUCUUUGAGCAUGAGCCAAAGGUGCCGGCAGAGCUGUUCUCCAUGGAGAAUGUGGUUCUGUCGCGCCACGUGGCGGUGUUGACGGAGGAGUCCAGGUCGGACCUGCGAGCGCACACCAUUGGCAACCUUGAAGCCUUCUUCUCCGGUCAGCCAUUGCUCACCCCAGUGCAUGCUGAUUCUCUAGCGCAGUGA
rnacentral:rRNA from 1 species